rnacentral:rRNA from 1 species
GGGUCGGCUGGGUGGUCUGCCGCAAGGUAUGUACUUUCUAGCCGACUCUUUCCUUCUGGGGAACUGGGGUGCUCUUUAUUGAGUGUCUCAGGGAGCCAGGACUUUUACUUUGAAAAAAUUAGAGUGUUUAAAGCAAGCGUACGCUUGAAUACAUUAGCAUGGAAUAAUGAAAUAGGGCUUCAGUUCUAUUUUGUUGGUUUUCAGAAUCCGAAGCA